GAUUCAUGUUGAUGGCCGCAGGCAGAAUAUUUGAUCCAAUGGGAUUUGUAUCCCCCUUCACUAUAAGAUUUAAAAUCUUAUUUCAAGAAAUCUGGCAAAGUAAAACAGACUGGGACGAAGAGUUACUGCCAGAUGUUAAUGAGAAGUUUGAACAGUGGUGUUCAGAAGCGUCUUUCUUAGGUAAACUUCAGAUUCCUAGAUAUGUCCUUGAGUGUGAUAGUGAGAAUCCCCCAGAGUGUGAAAUACACACAUUUUCCGAUUCUAGCAUUAAAGCGUAUGGAGCUGUCUCAUAUUUAAGACUGAAAACUCCUAACAAAAUUUGUGUGUAUCUUUUAGCUUCAAAAUGCCGUGUGGCUCCUCUAAAGCCAUUAUCCCUUCCACGUUUGGAAUUAAUGGGUGCGUUACUUGCUGCGAGAUUGGCAAAAGAAGUAUCAAGAGUCCUCAGUGAGAAAAUAUCAGCAACCAACCACUUUUGGACAGAUUCCACUAUAGCCUUGAGUUGGAUUCAAGGUUCCAGCAGCAGAUGGAAAGUCUUUGUCGCCAACCGUGUGAAGGAAAUACAAUCCUUGACAAACAAAGAUAUGUGGCACCAUUGUCCUGGAAAGGACAAUCCAUCUGAUCUUCUUACGAGAGGCAUCAGCGCCGACUCACUGUUGAACUGUGAGAAGUGGUGGAAUGGACCGAGUUUCCUACAUGAAGAAAACAUUGUCCCUAAAAAUGAUGACGUGAUACUUAGUGAUGACAGUGUGUGUCAGGAAGAACUAAAAUCGUCUGAGAAAAAAACUUUGGCUGUGACUUUGGACAAUAGUUUUUUGAACAAAAUUCUUUCUGUAUCUAAUAAUUUCCAAAAAUUUUUAUGUGUUCUUAGUUAUAUUUACAGGUUCAUCGAUAAUUGUAAGCAACCAUUUAACAAACAAACUGGACCAUUGAAGAUAUCCGAAGUCCAACGAGCGGAAACUACGCUUGUGAAGUUGGUGCAACAGGUAGAAUUUGAAUCAGAAUUAAAGGACUUGUCCACUAAGGGUAUGGUUAGCCCUCAAAGUAAGAUAAAAAAUCUCUCUCCAUUUCUAGACUCUGAAAAGGUACUAAGAGUAGGAGGUAGACUGGCAUAUAGUAAUUUAAAUUAUGACAAAAAACACCAAAUAAUUCUUCCUAAGAAUCACAAGUUAACUAAUUUGAUUCUUGAAUUGACUCACAAGAGACAAUUGCAUGUAGGUCCACAAACUUUAUUGUCUAUUGUUAGACAGAGAUUCUGGCCCUUAAAUGGUCGUAAUAUGUGCAGGAAAUUAGUUAAUAACUGUACAAUUUGUUUUAAAGCAAAACCCGUUACUUGUUCACAAAUUAUGGGUCAAUUGCCAACCGAGAGAAUUUCUCAAAAUUUUCCUUUUAACAAAGUGGGAGUAGAUUUCUGUGGGCAUUUCUGGAUUAAAUAUCCUAAUCAGAGAAAAGGCGUUUUCAAUAAAGUUUACGUAUGUGUUUUCGUGUGCAUGGUCACAAAAGCAUGUCACCUUGAAUUAGUUUCAGAUCUAACUAGCGAAGCCUUCAUUGCGGCUUUAAAACGAUUUUUUAGUAGAAGAGGAAAAUCUGAACAUAUAUUUUCAGACAAUGCUUCCAACUUUGUAGGCACACAAUUAGAGUUAAAGAGACUGAGAAAAAUUCUGAGUAAUAGUAACAAUAAUAUGAGUAAAUUUUUGUGUGAUGAACGUGUUCAGUGGAGUUUCAUUCCACCAAGAGCACCAAAUCAUGGAGGCCUCUGGGAGGCUGGAGUCAAGGCCGUCAAAUAUCAUAUAAAGCGAAUUAUGGGUAAUUUAAAAUUCACUUAUGAAGAAUUUUUAACGAUUCUUAACCAGAUUGAGGGAAUUCUCAACUCACGUCCCCUCUACCCUUUAUCAUGUGACCCUAACGAUUUUGAUGUUUUGACUCCUGGUCAUUUCCUUGUUGGUCGUCCGAUUUCAGCAAUUGUUGAACCGAGUUUAACUGAACUGCCUGAUAACAGGUUAAAGGUAUGGCAAAAACUAACAAAAAUUGUACAACAGAUUUGGAAACGUUGGUCAAAUAACUACCUAAGUACACUUCAAAAUCGAAAUAAAUGGUUUUUUGAGAAAAAUAAUGUAAAAAUAAAUGAUAUGGUAAUUUUGAAAGAAGAAAAUUUGUCUGUGUGUAACUGGCCUCUUGGUCGAAUUCUUGAAGUGUAUUAUGGUAAAGAUAAUAAAAUCAGAGUAGUGUUAGUGAAAACUAAAAAUGGAGUUUUUAAACGUCCUAUUACUAAAAUUUGUAUUUUACCCAUCCCAAAUGAGUAAUUUGUGUGAAAAUUUCUCUUUAUGUUAUGAUCACUGGUUGUUUUUGAGUAUUAUACUUGUUACCUUUUGUGUGAAUUCAACUGUGUAUAUUUGAUAAAUUGAGUAUUUCUUGUUUUUGCAAUGUUGUAUACUGUUUAUUGUAUUAAGUGGUAUGUGUUCAUUUGUAUUGUUGUUGUUUACUUUUAAGUUUUUGAAUGUAUCAUUCAACCCGGGGGUGGAUGUUCGGUGUUGUGAAAUGAUUGUAUGGUGGCGCCCCCAAGGUGAAGCGAAAAUAAUUCUGUAACGCGAGAGUGGCUGUGUAGAGCGAGAGAGAGUGUGGAAAGCACGCGAAUAAAAUGGAGUUGUUCUAAAGUCUCUGCCAUCUGAUUUGUGUUGUGAAUUACAUUAAAUGUGUGCGUAGAACUGGCGAAAUAACAAUGUCUUUUAUUGAAACCUGUGAAUUGCCAUCUUUCGAAAUAAAGCUGGCAUCAGGUUUAUAUCCCAUUGUAAAGGAAGUAACUGAAAAUUUUUGGUUGAAACAUUUCAGUGCAGGUAUACUUCCAGACGACAAAAUUACUGCUAAUCAAAUACUAAGCUAUAAAAAGAAAAUUAAUUCCAUAAGUGAACUGUUGGAAACUUAUGAAGAAUUUUUGAAAAAUUAUCCAUCAUGGUCUAAACAACGGAAAGAAACCAUUGAAGCACUGAGAAAUGUGGAAAAACAUUUGGAGAACUUGGUAAAGAAAUGCCAUUCAGUUUUUCAGCAAUCAGGUCCAAAGCUUUAUUAUCAACUAAUGGGCCUGUUGAAAUCAUUUGGUGUACUUACAGACGAAGAGAAGAAAAUUCUUGACGAUUUUAAAUCUAAAUUCGAAGAGAGCAGACGUGAAGCCCUCAAAAUGUGCUCUGUGGAUCUCAUCUUACAACAUGAACUGGCCACACGCGAGUUUUAUGAAGGUAUGACCGAUUACAUUGAUGAUCUCUUUGGUGAUCAUAUUUCUCACCAAAUUCUGGGUGAUGUGUUAAAACUUUUAAAGAAUAUUCCAGAACAGAUUGAUAAUAUUGAUAAUAUUUAUACUCAACUGAGAAUUUGUUUGACGUCCAUUCUUCCAAAAAUCGGCAAACUUCGUUCCAAAGGAUUUUCAGUAUCAUGCGCCAUUUUGACAGUCUUCCUCGCCGUGUUCCUAAAUCGUCGCCAACGUUGCGCCAUUUUGAUUCAUCGCCACGAUCUUGGCAUUCUAAAUAAUGCGGAAGCAGAAAUCGCCAAAUUGAUUGCAUCAGCUCAUAUGGAGCGCUCUAAGUUUGGAGAAGUAGUCUCUACAGAAAUGAAGAAGAAAAUUGCUUUAGGGGCUAUGGAUGUCGUUGGCAUAAAUUUAAGAAUUGCAACCAUCAUUCUCAACUCUAUUGAUGUGAAUGAUGGGUUCUUAACUUGUGAAACAGAACUAGUCUCGGAACUAAUCAAUAAGCUGGAAAAGGACCACGUUUCAUAUCAAAAAGUUUAUGAAAUACUUAAAACAUCUUCCAAAGAAAGGUUAAAGAUGCAGGAUAUAACCAAUUGGACAAGCGUUAUUAUCUAUCAUAUCCCUUCUGGUAUUGGCGAAUUUGGAAUAAAAAUUGCGAUGAAGAGAUUUCUUGGCGAUGAAGUUCAAAAUUGUAUAGAUCUUAAAAGAUUGUCAACCAAUGGAAAUAAUUGGCUUGUAAAAAUCCCCACCAAUCAUUCUAGUUUGCUCUUGAAAGAAAAGUACAUAUACAUUGCAAAGAAAAAAUGUUUAAUUAUGGCUUAAUAAAAUAUUUAGAAUUUCCGAUUCAUUUACUUUGUAUUUAAAAGCAAAAAAAAAAAAGCCGCCAACUUUAAAGGAAUAGAUAUUCUCAUAUCCUGCCCCAUUUUAAGGCUAUUUUAAAGCCAUUAAAAGGCUAUUUUAAAAGUUUUAUGAAGAUGUUUUAAAAUUAAAAUAUGCAAGUCAACGACUUUUUUUUGAAGAAAAAAAAAACACUUUAAACUUGAAAUUCUGAAUCGUUUUUUCGUUCUUUACCCAUUUUUUUUCACUCCAAAACUGUUGGUGGUGUCCUUCUUAUUUGAAGAAUCGUUCCUCGAUCAUAAAUAUGCGUUUUUAUAUCAAUACGAAACAUGUCAUAUGUUAUAUAUAAAUGAUAAAUUAUUGCUAACCUGACCUGGACAGUCGAAAGCUUCCAUUUCUUAUCCCGAAUCAAAAGUAGGCAUCCGGUUUGUCUCGAAUAUAACCGUCAUGGAUAAACAGUUCAAGUCCCAACCCUUUCUGCAUCAGCAAAAUCACAUCCCAAAUUAGCUACGACCAUCCUGAAUUUCGAUUUCUGGCUCAGAUUGAAAAUGUAUCCUGAGUCAAAUUAAAUGUCGUCCAGUUUUUUUUUUUUUUUUUUUUUUUUACGAAUUAGUUAAAUACCUCACAUGGAAAGAUAAAUAAAGCUGAAUUUUAUGUUUUUAAGAGUUUGUAUUCAAAAAACGAAAUGAUGCAACAGUAGUAAAAAAGCUAUUUAAUUAGUUGAAUUGAGUUUGUUUUUUUAUAGCACAAAAGCUACCUUUGGCUAAGCUGCGCCGCAUUCUUGCGAUUAAAUCAUUUGCAUCAGUUUAUAAUAAAAUCAAAACUUGGAAUGUUUACAAGAUCGAAAUGUCUAAAAGCGUAAACCUAUGAGUCAUGAAAAAGCGCAACAAUGAUGUAUGGUAUGGUACUGUGCUAAAAAGCGCGGUUAAUGUUUAUAUAUGAUUAUGAAAACCAAUAUUUUUUUUAAAAACUAAAAAGGCCAACAUGCGGAGUUUUGGAAAGCAACUCACCCAAUUCAAGGCGAGAUUUCUGUUAAAGUGCAAGACACUGGAUAGAAAACCGUGGACAUUCUACAAUAAUGUGUAAAACAGACAUAGGACUAUUACACAUUGAGCAAAAUGGUAUUGGGUUCCCCAUCAACAAAUGUCGGUGGGUGAAUCGAGUGUACCCAAUUUUCAAUCUAGUUAAAAUUGUGUCCAGUUUUCUGUUUAAAGUGGGCCAGAGAUCUAUUGAACUUAUUACGAAUCUGUGCACCCCAUUCAGUUUGCCAUUUGGAAUGAAAAAUGUGACACAUAUAUUUCUUACAGUCAGUAAGAGGAAUCUGUGUUUGCAAGAAAGUAGUAGCCAAUUUAGCUGCCAUAUCAACCUUUUUCAUUUCCUGGAGUUCCCACAUGUGCGGGGACCCAGCAUAAAAUAAUUUGAAAGCUCUUUCAGAUAAGUUUGUCACACAAGUUUAAAAUGUUGAAAAGCAAAGGAUGGCUGCGAGCGUGUAAAGAUGAUUGGCAUUCCAAAGCGCUCAAUAAAUCUGUGUAUAUUAUAUAGCUAUCUGUAGAACAAUCAGAAAUAACCGAUAAAGCUUUUUAAAUAGCAGUUACUAUUUCAUUAGAGCUGCAAAACUGAGAAAUCAAUCCUUAAUUCAAAUAAUUAU